CAAAGACUCUGGACAGCAACCCGGAUUCGAGCCAUGGCUGACGGCUGACGGACGCCUCAGGCUUGGGCGCUUCUGCAGCAGUGCCUGCACGCACGACUACAAGUUCGCCCAGCUGAGGGGGACGCUGCGGCCCAGUGGGUGGAGGUUCAGAGAGGAUUAGUGAUCUAUGUGUGCUUCUUCAAGGGAGCUGAUAAAGAACUUCUUCCAAAAAUGGAUAUGAAAUAAUGGAGCUAUUCCGAAGAUUGAGGGACAGCACCCAUUAUUUGGAUUAUUAAUACACUAUUAAAUGUGAAAUUAGAUAAUAAAAAUCAA
rnacentral:lncRNA from 1 species